UACGAAGGGUGCAAGCGUUAAUCGGAAUUACUGGGCGUAAAGCGUGCGCAGGCGGUUCGUUGUGUCGGCGGUGAAAGCCCCGGGCUUAACCUGGGAAUGGCCGUUGAAACUGGCGAACUGGAGUGUGGCAGAGGGGGGUGGAAUUCCACGUGUAGCAGUGAAAUGCGUAGAGAUGUGGAGGAACACCGAUGGCGAAGGCAGCCCCCUGGGUCAACACUGACGCUCAUGCACGAAAGCGUGGGGAGCAAACAGG
rnacentral:rRNA from 1 species